UCCAUACAUGGUGCAACAAAUGCUGAGGCAUUGCAUCAUGUUGCAAAGUUGGGGGGUUUAUUCUUUCGCAGAAGUGUUAAAUGAUCAGGAGCAGGAUUAUGAACCAAAGUGAAGAAGAAAUCGUGCUCAGCUUGGCCACCCCUGGGGUAAGGCGUGGAAGGGUGAAUGACUUGCCCAACCUCACGAAGCAAGACAAUGGGAGAGUUAGGUCUAGAACCUCGGCAUCCUGGUUCUUACUCUGCUGCUACAAUCAGAACAUCACCUGGCUCAACAUAUGAAGAGGUACCGCAUGAAAGCGCAUUACCGUGCCCUGCAGAGACUGUCAAUAAGGGCAUCCGUCAGUUCCAGCUGUGAAGGUGGUUUUGUAAUUUGCAUACUUGCACACUGGAAAAUGGACAAAGCCCAUGAACUCAUUUCAGAUAGCUACCAAACAGCCACCAGCUGGAAAUAGAUUUUGGUCACGACCCAUGUGGGACAAAUCUGAACCGGUGACCUAAAAAAGGGACCUUAAUCCUAUUACCGGUCUCCUGAGCUGCCGAGGCCUAAUUUAUUGGGUAUUUAAAUAAUUGACCGAUACCUUAGCCUUGCAAAACCAUCAUGAACAUUUACUAGCCCAGGCACAAAAUCUACUUGCCC